GUUAUAUGGUCAAGUGAAGAAGCGCAUACGGUGGAUGCCUGGCAGUCAGAGGCGAUGAAAGACGUGGUAGCCUGCGAUAAGCUUCGGGGAGUCGGCAAACAGACUUUGAUCCGGAGAUCUCUGAAUGGGGAAACCCACCUAGGAUAACCUAGGUAUCUUGUACUGAAUCCAUAGGUGCAAGAGGCGAACCAGGGGAACUGAAACAUCUAAGUACCCUGAGGAAAAGAAAUCAACCGAGAUUCCCUUAGUAGUGGCGAGCGAACGGGGA
rnacentral:rRNA from 1 species